rnacentral:rRNA from 1 species
UACGAAGGGGGCUAGGGUUGUUCGGAUUUCCUGGGCGUAAAGCGCACGUAGGCGGAUCGUUAAAUCGUGGGUGAAAUCCUGGAGCUCAACUCCAGAACUGCCUUUGAUACUGAGGAUCUUGAGUUCGGGAGAGGUGAGUGGAACUGCGAGUGUAGAGGUGAAAUUCGUAGAUAUUCGCAAGAACACCAGUGGCGAAGGCGGCUCACUGGCCCGAUACUGACGCUGAGGCACGAAAGCGUGGGGAGCAAACAGG